GUUUUUUGUCUUUUGGGUGCUGGUAGGAGCACAACUGGGCCAUUGAGCCCUGUGGGUGAACCUCGACCUGUUCUGGGAUGUGCUCUUGGAUCAGGAAUCCCACUCUGGCCACAAGGCUCUGGCCAAGGAAGGAAAGGAAAAGCUGAAGUGCCUGAGGUGCAGGGGAGCAUUUUGCUCUAUUCCCUGCCUUUGCUUAGUGCCUCCUGUGUUUCCCCACUGCAGGCAUCACUGGACAUGAUCCCUCUGGAGGUGCUGCCAGACCAUUGAGUGCUCCAUCCCUGCCCUCCAGACACCCUCUUCCUGCAGGAAAGUCGGC